UACAGAGGUCCCGAGCGUUGUUCGGAUUUAUUGGGCGUAAAGGGUGCGUAGGCGGCGGAGUAAGUUGGGUGUGAAAUCCCGAGGCUCAACCUCGGAAUUGCAUUCAAUACUGCUUCGCUCGAGUACUGGAGAGGAGGCUGGAAUUUACGGUGUAGCAGUGAAAUGCGUAGAUAUCGUAAGGAAGGCCGGUGGCGAAAGCGCCGCUCUGGGCCGUAACUGACGCUGAGGAGCGAAAGCAUGGGUAGCAAACAGG
rnacentral:rRNA from 1 species